rnacentral:rRNA from 1 species
UACGUAGGGUGCGAGCGUUAAUCGGAAUUACUGGGCGUAAAGCGUGCGCAGGCGGUUCGUUGUGUCGGCGGUGAAAGCCCCGGGCUCAACCUGGGAAUGGCCGUUGAAACUGGCGAACUGGAGUGUGGCAGAGGGGGGGUGGAAUUCCGCGUGUAGCAGUGAAAUGCGUAGAGAUGCGGGAGGAACACCGAUGGCGAACGGCAGCCCCCUGGGCUGACACUGACGCUCAGGCACGAAAAGCGUGGGGAGCAAACAGG